rnacentral:rRNA from 1 species
UUCAAUUGCCGGCGACCGGCGCACGGGUGAGUAACGCGUAUCCAACCUUCCGUACACUCAGGGAUAGCCUUUCGAAAGAAAGAUUAAUACCUGAUGGUAUGAUGAGAUUGCAUGAUAGCAUCAUUAAAGAUUUAUCGGUGUACGAUGGGGAUGCGUUCCAUUAGGUAGUAGGCGGGGUAACGGCCCACCUAGCCAACGAUGGAUAGGGGUUCUGAGAGGAAGGUCCCCCACAUUGGAACUGAGACACGGUCCAAACUCCUACGGGAGGCAGCAGUGAGGAAUAUUGGUCAAUGGACGAGAGUCUGAACCAGCCAAGUAGCGUGAAGGAUGAAGGUCCUACGGAUUGUAAACUUCUUUUAUAAGGGAAUAAACCCUCCCACGUGUGGGAGCUUGUAUGUACCUUAUGAAUAAGCAUCGGCUAACUCCGUGCCAGCAGCCGCGGUAAUACGGAGGAUGCGAGCGUUAUCCGGAUUUAUUGGGUUUAAAGGGAGCGCAGACGGGUCGUUAAGUCAGCUGUGAAAGUUUGGGGCUCAACCUUAAAAUUGCAGUUGAUACUGGCGUCCUUGAGUGCGGUUGAGGUGUGCGGAAUUCGUGGUGUAGCGGUGAAAUGCUUAGAUAUCACGAAGAACUCCGAUUGC